rnacentral:rRNA from 1 species
GAUGAACGCUGGCGGCGUGCCUAAUACAUGCAAGUCGAGCGAAUGGAUUAAGAGCUUGCUCUUAUGAAGUUAGCGGCGGACGGGUGAGUAACACGUGGGUAACCUGCCCAUAAGACUGGGAUAACUCCGGGAAACCGGGGCUAAUACCGGAUAACAUUUUGAACCGCAUGGUUCGAAAUUGAAAGGCGGCUUCGGCUGUCACUUAUGGAUGGACCCGCGUCGCAUUAGCUAGUUGGUGAGGUAACGGCUCACCAAGGCAACGAUGCGUAGCCGACCUGGGAGGGGGAUCGGCCACACUGGGACUGGGACCCGGCCCAGACUCCUACGGGAGGCAGCAGUAGGGAAUCUUCCGCAAUGGACGAAAGUCUGACGGAGCAACGCCGCGUGAGUGAUGAAGGCUUUCGGGUCGUAAAACUCUGUUGUUAGGGAAGAACAAGUGCUAGUUGAAUAAGCUGGCACCUUGACGGUACCUAACCAGAAAGCCACGGCUAACUACGUGCCAGCCGCCGCAGUAA